rnacentral:lncRNA from 1 species
CUAAGCACUAAGCAACAGACUCAUCCAAAGCAAUUCCUUGUCUGAGUCAAGGCCAUGUCAAUGUAUUAACACUCUGUUUACUUCAGACCAAAGUUCAGAUGAAUCAGAGAACAUCCAUGUGCCUCUGACUUCCACUUCAUGAUGCUCCUUUGGUUUAGUUAUUGAGGGAGACCCUGGCCCAGAAAACUCUAAGGAUUGAUUGCUCUUGAAGGCACAAGAAAUCACAAUUGCAAUUACCUGGCCCCAGAAGAUAUGUGUGGAUGUUGGUUUUCUGCGUGGGGCAAGGCACUUUGUUGGCUGUAAUACAACAUACCAGCACCGGAAUUUGAGGUGCAAACUCCUCCCAGGCUACAGGAUCAGAACUGCAGUCUCUAAAACAAAACAAAACAAAACAAAACAAAAACAGAAAAGCAAACCUAUGGACGCUAUCAGCUUGCAGCUGAUUCCCUGUAUGGUCACUGGGAAGCUAAGGUCAAGCUGUCAGACCACUGCCAACAGCUGCAGAAGGAGUGAAAGACAAAGUUUGUCACUAGCAAAAAUAACUAGCAGCCUAAUGGUAUCAUCCACCAGUUUGGCAGCAGGGGAGGCAAUAGGUAUUUCCAACUGGACUUUGCCUUAUCUGCCUCUUCUGGUCAUGAUGCACAAUGGCUCCCCAGGGAUGGAAGGAUAAAGCUCAGAAGUCUCAGCCUGACUUUCAAGUCUCCGGUCUGAACCUCCUUCACUUUUAUGUCCCAGUCUUAUAUAACUAUCAUUAAUAAAAAUUCCUGUUUAAG